rnacentral:rRNA from 1 species
CAGCAGCCACGGGAAUACGUAGGGUGCAAGCGUUAAUCGGAAUUACUGGGCGUAAAGCGUGCGCAGGCGGUUAUAUAAGUCAGGUGUGAAAUCCCCGGGCUCAACCUGGGAACUGCAUUUGAGACUGUAUGGCUAGAGUGUGUCAGAGGGGGGUAGAAUUCCACGUGUAGCAGUGAAAUGCGUAGAGAUGUGGAGGAAUACCGAUGGCGAAGGCAGCCUCCUGGGAUAACACUGACGUUGAGGCUCGAAAGCGUGGGGAGCAAACAGGAUUAGAUACCCGUGUAGUCCCGUCUCUUAUACA